UUUUAUGGGCUUCGUGUGAUACCGUUUUGAGGCCCCAUGUUGAAGGACAGUGGUCCCACUGAGUAUAAGAAAGGUGUAUGAGCAUUACAAACAGAGUAGCGGGACAACGUAGCGUCUGAGGCCGAAAUGGGUCCCCUAAUCGGACUGAAUGGUGCGGUUGGGUGCCAACGGUCUGGAGGUCUUCCUGUAGCUCCAGAGUAGCGGGACAACGUCGCGUCUGAGUCCGAAAUGGGUCCCGUAAUCGGACUGAGUGGUGCGGUUGGGUGCCAACGGUCUGGAGGUCUUCCCGGAGCUCCAGAGUAGCGGGACAACUUCGCGUCUGAGUCCGAAACGGGUCCCCUAAUCGGACUGAGUGGUGCGGUUGGUUGCCAACGGUCUGGAGGUCCUGAGAAUCAUCCAGGGGAGCGGGACCACUUGGCUUCUGAGUCCGAGAUGAGUCCCCUAAUCGGACUGAAUGGUGCAGUUUCAGUACGCCGUGGACCACUUUGGUCUGCCAUCGUCAGUCGCUACGGUCGCUACUCGCUACUGUCUGCCGUGGAAUCAAAACAAACCCUCUAGUUGAGGACGCGCCUUGAUGAAGCGGGCCCGAAUGCGCCACAAGAAGCAGACGGAAAACCUUAUAUAUCCAUGCAGCAAACAGACAGGUCUGUCGGCCUAUAAGGUCAUUCGGUCCGAAGAAUUUUAU
ensembl:lncRNA